rnacentral:lncRNA from 1 species
CAAAAGAAGACUGAGACAACUUGUCCUCCUCUGUGUCCCCCUUCUCUUCAGGUGUGCUGUGUGGUGAAGAUGACUUACAGCUUGUCAAGGUCCGCUUGAGUUUCCUGACUUUUUUAGCCUUAGAAACCCUUGUUUCAGGGGCAUGGUCGUCACUGUCUGAUGUUACAGGGACAACCUUGUUGCUAAAAUUGUUUUUAAAUGCCCCCUUAACUCUUCUGAAGAAUUUUUUCUUAUCCUUUUUAGGAGCUCCUUCACUUUCAGUGCACUCUUUUUCAGUCUUGUGGGACCAGGAGGAACUUGAAGAGAGUGUUAUGGAAGACAGAGACCACUUAUCCUCCUCUGUGUCCCCCUUUUCUUCAGGUGUGCUCUGUGGUGAAGAUGACUUACAGCUUUUCAAGUCUCGUGGGACCAGGAGGAACUUGAAGAGAGUGUUAUGGAAGACUGAGACCACUUAUCCUCCUCUGUGUCCCCCUUUUCUUCAGGUGUGCUCUGUGGUGAAGAUGACUUACAGCUUUUCAAGGUCCGUUUGAGUUUCCUGACUUUUUUAGCCUUGGAAACCCUUGUUUCAGGGGCAUGGUCGUCACUGUCUGAUGUUACAGGGACAACCUUGGUGCUAAAACGUUUUUUAAAUGCCCCCGUAACUCUUCUGAAGACCUUUUUCUUGCCCUUUUUCUGAGCUUCUUCACUUUCAGUGCACUCUUUUUCAGUCUCGUGGGACCAGGAGGAACUUGAAGAGAGUGUUAUGGAAGACUGAGACCACUUAUCCUCCUCUGUGUCCCCCUUUUCUUCAGGUGUGCUCUGUGGUGAAGAUGACUUACAGCUUUUCAAGGUCCGUUUGAGUUUCCUGACUUUUUUAGCCUUGGAAACCCUUGUUUCAGGGGCAUGGUCGUCACUGUCUGAUGUUACAGGGACAACCUUGGUGCUAAAACGUUUUUUAAAUGCCCCCGUAACUCUUCUGAAGACCUUUUUCUUGCCCUUUUUCUGAGCUUCUUCACUUUCAGUGCACUCUUUUUCAGUCUUGUGGGACCAGGAGGAACUUGAAGAGAGUGUUAUGGAAGACUGAGAACAUGCAUUCACCUCUGUGUCCCCCUUCUCUUCAGGUGUGCUCUGUGGUGAAGAUGACUUACAGCUUGUCAAGGUCCGCUUGAGUUUCCUGACUUUUUUAGCCUUGGAAACCCUUGUUUCAGGGGUAUGGUCGUCACUGUGUGAUGAUACAGGGGCAAGCUUUUUGCUAAAACUUUUCUUAAAUGCCCCCUUAACUCUUCUGAAGACCUUUUUCUUGCCCUUUUUCUGAGCUUCUUCACUUUCAGUGUACUCUUCUUCAGUCUCGUGUGACCGAGACAAACUUGAAGAGAGUGUUAUGGAAGACUGAGACCACUGAUCCUCCUCUGUGGCCCCCUUCUCUUUAGGUGUGCUCCGUGGUGAAGAUGAUUCACAGCUUUUCAAGGUCCGCUUGAGUUUCCUGACUUUUUUAGCCUUGGAAACCCUUGUUUCAGAUAUGUUAACUUCCACAAGAUCCUUAAAAUACUC